UUGGAAAUGAAACUUCUGAGAUCUUCUUCCCAUUGGCAAAGAUCCUACUGAGGUACACACCAGCGUGGAGUCUGUGUUCAAGGGAGGCCUGUGACACAUUGUGGCUUCAGGGGAAGGGACUCUUGAGUUCCACAGACUACACUGAAGUCUUGCCCUACUUGAUCUUUGAGUGAAGGCCUCUGCUCUCCAUGUAUCUACUGCAGAAGUGUCUCUGGUUGGAGGUAAAGUUCUGUCCUCCCAGCACUGCUAAAGCACAGCUUGUCCCCCAUUCUUAAUAGCCCUAAGGUCUGGCUGUGAACCCAUUACAUCCCCAAAUCGGAAAAUGAAAUCAUUUGGAGCCUGGUCUUUGGCAAUUUCUGCUGGCCAGCUUAGGCUCUGACUUGGGUUGCUGUUUCCCCUCCUGGAUCUCUGCUUGGUGCCAUCGGUUGGAAUCCCAUUGCCGAUGUCUUGCCUUGGCCUAUUCUCUGUUCUGGGCCUUUCUUUGGAAUGACUCUCCAGGAUCUCAAAAUGUUUUCAUGUAUGGAUGAAUGCAGAUUCACAGACUUCUCGAGGGAUGGAAGUG